AUUGAACGCUGGCGGCAUGCUUUACACAUGCAAGUCGAACGGCAGCGCGGGCUUCGGCCUGGCGGCGAGUGGCGAACGGGUGAGUAAUGCAUCGGAACGUGCCCAGUAGUGGGGGAUAGCCCGGCGAAAGCCGGAUUAAUACCGCAUACGACCUGAGGGUGGAAGCGGGGGACGGAAGGGCUCCCGGCAUUGGGGCGGCCGGAUGUCGGAUUAGCUAGUUGGUGGGGUAAAGGCUUACAAAGGCGACGAUCCGUAGCUGGUCUGAGAGGACGACCAGCCACACUGGGACUGAGACACGGCCCAGACUCCUACGGGAGGCAGCAGUGGGGAAUUUUGGACAAUGGGGGCAACCCUGAUCCAGCCAUGCCGCGUGCGGGAAGAAGGCCUUCGGGUUGUAAACCGCUUUUGUUCGGGAAGAAAUCCUCUGGGCUAAUACCCCGGGGGGAUGACGGUACCGGAAGAAUAAGCACCGGCUAACUACGUG
rnacentral:rRNA from 1 species